AUGAGCACCACGCAUUUCACCAGCACGAUAAUGAUCCGCGUGAUUGUGUUUGCUUUGAGCCAUAACAUAGUAUUUGGCAACGAUCAACCCACCUUCGUCACAGCAGGUUGCAGAGAUGACAUAACUUUGCACUGUACUUUCCUUCAAAACUGUCAGAACUACACCUCUAUUACGUGGUACAAGAUCAGCAAUAACAGCAGUGAUGGAUCUACAAUGCAAAUCCUCAAAAAGUCAGAAAAUGGCAUCCAGACUGACAAACACAACCAUUCUGUGUUGCUGGAUAAAAACACAGCUUUGCUCUUAAGGAAAGUUGCUCCUGCUGAUUCUGGGGUAUACACGUGUUUAAUUAAAGCCAAAGCUGGAGGAAAGAACUGUCAAAAUGGGGUUAGACUUAAUAUCUCAGAUUGUGUAUCAACAGCUUCACCCAUCAUCUUUGAUUUCUCCACCAAGUUUAUUAAUGGAUCAUGGCCAAACAUUAGCAUCCCAUUGCCUCAUGUGAAUGACUAUUCAGUGCUUUUUGUCAUAUGGGGUUGUAUAGGACUCGCUUUGAGUAAACUCAUCCUCAGUGCCGUUUCCAUAUGUGUUUUCAAGAAGCUCAUAAAACUUCAAAGAAGACAGACUUAA
rnacentral:lncRNA from 12 species